UCUCCCCUCCCCGGCUCACCCCCGCCGCAUCGCCGCGCGCGUCGACGAGCCCGCAACCGUGCGACUCCGCCCGCCGACCACCGAAUCGGUCUCAUGAAUUGGCGGGGCUUGGGGCUACGACGAGCUGUGUGCGGCACGACUGACGGAGGCGGACGCAGCGAGCUUCCUGACCCGGGCGUGCGUGCUCGAUCCGGCCCCGUUCCGGUCGGAUCCGCGACGGUGCUCCUCUCCGGCGAGGUCGCAGGUUGAUCCGACGCGGGGCGGCUCGAUCUGCAAGCGGAGCAACUCCGCGCCAUGACCCGGUCUCACAGGCAUGGCCAGGGCGACGACUGCUCCCCGACGCCACCACCCUCCGCAAGGAGCGACGACAGCUCGAAGCUCUGCGGCACAGCGUGUGCCGAGCGACACGCAAUGGGGGCGCCGCUGCCUCAGCCACCGGUGUGUCCGACCACCCGUCCACGUCCUCACCGCUGUCGCCGGCCGGCCACACGACGUCGCUCGUCCCGCUGCUUCAGCAGGCCAAGAAACUGGAACGCCCCCCGCGCCUGGCAACCUCGGCAUCUCUAUCGACCGUCUCAGAAAGCGCUACCUCGCCCGGCUCCCGCAUAGCUGAUGCAAGCCAAGAAACAGGGAGUGCCGACAGUAGUACUCUGAAUCCAUCAAUGCAGCUGAAUCCAUAAUGCUAAUCAAGAGGUGGUUUUGGCCUAACUGGGAUGUGCUUGAGUCCCGCAUAGCCGUGGAGGAGGAAGCUGCUGCCCUUCUUGAGCAGUUUGCAAAGAUCCGCAGCGAGCAAAGAGGGCAGUGGAAGGCAGCAACCCAAUCCCAGGAGUUCCUUUGAACCCUUCAGCAUUAAUACAAUAAUGCUUACACAGAUCCUGAGAAGCAGGAUGCUAUAAAUGUAUUCUUGGGUCAUUUUCAGUCUCAACAAGGCAAACCUCCUAUUGUGGAAGUUGGACUGAGAUCAGCAUUACAAUGUUGGCCGCCAAGGAACUCUAUGUGAAGAAACUUGAAGAUCCGCAGUGAGCAAAGAGGGCAGUGGAAGGCAGCAACCCAAUCCCAGGAGUUCCUUUGAACCCUUCAGCGUUAAUACAAUAAUGCUUACACAGAUCCUGAGAAGCAGGAUGCUAUAAAUGUAUUCUUGGGUCAUUCCAGUCUCAACAAGGCAAACCUCCUAUUGUGGAAGUUGGACUGAGAUCAGCAUUACAAUGUUGGCCGCCAAGGAACUCUAUGUGAAGAAACUGGAAGAUCUGCAGUGAGCAAAGAGGGCAGUGGAAGGCAGCAACCCAAUCCCAGGAGUUCCUUUGAACCCUUCAGCGUUAAUACGAUAAUGUUUACACAGAUCCUGAGAAGCAGGAUGCUAUAAAUGUAUUCUUGGGUCAUUUCCAGUCUCAACAAGGCAAACCUCCUAUUGUGGAAGUUGGACUGAGAUCAGCAUUACAAUGUUGGCCGCCAAGGAACUCUAUGUGAAGAAACUGGAAGAUCUGAAGUGAGCAAAGAGGGCAGUGGAAGGCAGCAACCCAAUCCGAGGAGUUCCUUUGAACCCUUCAGCGUUAAAUACAAUAAUGCUUACACAGAUCCUGAGAAGCAGGAUGCUAUAAAUGUAUUCUUGGGUCAUUUCCAGUCUCAACAAGGCAAACCUCCUAUUGUGGAAGUUGGACUGAGAUCAACAUUACAAUGUUGGCCGCCAAGGAACUCUAUGUGAAGAAACUGGAAGGUACUGAUAUAAACUCUUCUACUAACAACAACAUUGCUUGAUAAGUUGUGUUGUGCCCCUUACUACCAUUCUCAUCAAUUAUAGAUUCGUGAUGGUCUGCUCGCUAUGAUUUAUGACCUCCACCUAUGUUAAAUAAUAUAUAGAUAUAGUUUUGAUAUAUUGUAUGGUGGUCCAGUUUUGUGGCCGCUUUGAGGCCGCAUCAUAAAUAUUUCUGUAUUAUAGAACACUUGAGUGGAGUCUAGUUUUACAAUGACGAAGUGACCAAGGCAGUGUGCAAUAUUUGUGCAGGAAAAACAAAGCCGAGUUUAGAUGUAGUAGAUGAUUGAUUACAAAACAACAAAAGAAUAAUAUACAUAAGCAAACCAGCAUAACGAAAAAUAA